GGGUCCAUAGCUCAAUAGUAGAGCAUUUGAUUGUAGAUCUAGAGGUGACUGGUUCAAUCUUGGUUAGACCCU
rnacentral:tRNA from 1 species